AGUGUUAAUGAUGGAACUAUGUGGAAUUAAUACUUGAUCUUAUAAUAUAUUUUCACAUUGAAUUUAGGACCAGUUUGCCUGUACUCUCACCAAGAAUGACGUCAGAGGGUGAGCAAUGUGAUGCAAGUCAGGGUAGAGAUUGCCUCAGGAGAAGCUUUGAACAAAUACAUGAGGCCUGGAGCCUCACAACAAAGAAAGAAAUGCCCGUGGACAAUGUGGAUCCCUAUAGGCAGUGGCAGACAUGGAAUCAGAUUCCAAUAUAAAAGGAAGCCAUGGGCAUUUGGAAAGCAUCUGUUUAUCUAUUGGACAAGGACUGACACUGACUGAAUUCACUGCUAAAUUUGCCACAGCUAAGGUUAAACAAAAGGUAAUUUGUUAUUUUGGCUACUCAUCCAUUGGUGUAUGUACAGUUACUACUUAAAUUCCAGAAAAAGACACGUUCAGAAGGCUUGUGAAAAAUGAAACAGUUUUCCUCCCAGUGAUGGCAGGGAUCUCAAAUGAGUUGUGCUGUCAAUGGGAGCACAAGAGGUUAUCCAGUUUUCCAUAAUCUAUAAAGCUUCUUCAGAAUCAUGUCAUUAGCUUUCCUGUGGUAGCACGCAGCAGAGCUAAUAAUGCAAUUAUGGUUCAUGUAGUUAAACUAUGCUAUUGAUAUUUUUCUUUCCCAGGAGGCCUUCAUUUCUAGCAAUUCUAAUCAUCUUCAUUGUACAGCUGUAUGGAUUCCACGUUUCACUAUGAGGGAAAUAAAAUUGCAAAUAAAUACCA
rnacentral:lncRNA from 1 species